UCAUUACAGUGUUCGCUGCCCUCACGGGUAGCAAACCUCACCCUUGUGUAUUAUAUCUUUGUUGCUUUGGCACGCCGCCUUCGGGCACUGGCUUCGGCUGGCUCGCGCGUGUCAGAGGACCCCAAACUCUGAAUGUUAGUGUCGUCUGAGUACUAUCUAAUAGUUAAAACUUUCAACAACGGAUCUCUUGGUUCUGGCAUCGAUGAAGAACGCAGCGAAAUGCGAUAAGUAAUGUGAAUUGCAGAAUUCAGUGAAUCAUCGAAUCUUUGAACGCACAUUGCGCCCGGUGGUAUUCCGCCGGGCAUGCCUGUUCGAGCGUCAUUUAAACCAAUCCAGCCUCGUGCUUGGGUCUUGGGCCUUUCGCCUCCGGGCGGGCCUCAAAAUCAGUGGCGGUGCCUCCUGGCUCUAAGCGUAGUAAUACUCCUCGCUAUAGACGUUCGGUGGUGUCCUGCCAGCAACCCCCCCAUUUCAAAGG
rnacentral:rRNA from 1 species